GACGAACGCUGGCGGCGUGCUUAACACAUGCAAGUCGAACGAAGAGCGAUGGAAGCUUGCUUCUAUCAAUCUUAGUGGCGAACGGGUGGGUAACGCGUAAUCAACCUGCCCUUCAGAGGGGGACAACAGUUGGAAACGACUGCUAAUACCGCAUACGAUCUAAUCUCGGCAUCGAGGAAAGAUGAAAGGUGGCCUCUAUUUAUAAGCUAUCACUGAAGGAGGGGAUUGCGUCUGAUUAGCUAGUUGGAGGGGUAACGGCCCACCAAGGCGAUGAUCAGUAGCCGGUCUGAGAGGAUGAACGGCCACAUUGGGACUGAGACACGGCCCAGACUCCUACGGGAGGCAGCAGUGGGGAAUCUUCCGCAAUGGACGAAAGUCUGACGGAGCAACGCCGCGUGAGUGAUGACGGCCUUCGGGUUGUAAAGCUCUGUUAAUCGGGACGAAAGGCCUUCUUGCGAACAGUUAGAAGGAUUGACGGUACCGGAAGAGAAAGCCACGGCUAACUACGUG
rnacentral:rRNA from 1 species